rnacentral:rRNA from 1 species
AGUCUGGGUCUAAAAACCCUCUCUCUUCUACACACUUGUGAACUUACACUGUUGCUUUGGCAGGUUUCCAGAUGGGUUCUCUGAACCCGGACGGUCAGGUCGUAAGACGCCUGCCAAGGACAUUUAAUCCACCCUUUUUUUAAUCGUCUGAUUUUUUUGUUUUAAACAAAUAUAAAAAAACUUUCAACAAUGGAUCUCUUGGCUCUGGCAUCGAUGAAGAACGCAGCGAAAUGCGAUAAGUAAUGUGAAUUGCAGAAUUCAGUGAAUCAUCGAAUCUUUGAACGCACAUUGCGCCCUCUGGUAUUCCGGAGGGCAUGCCUGUUUGAGUGUCAUUAAUCUCUCACAAGACCGUCUGGUCUCUGUCGAAGUUGGGACUUGCGAACCUUCUGGGAUCGCUGUCCUCAAAUGCAUUGGUGCGGCCCGCCGCCCGGUUUACACAACGUUCUAGGUUCGUCCAACUCGUUGCUUCUCCGGUGCAAUCAUGGUGCUGCACCUAAAGCCCGCCUCGUGCCCUGUGCUCUUGGCUUCUUCAUUUAUUGACCUCAGAUCAGGUAGGAAUACGCGCUGAACUUAA